GAGGCCAGAGGCUUGUUGUGAAUUGAUUUUUUUUUUUUAUAUAUAUAUUUAUUUUAAUGAAAAGAUAGUAUAGGAUUUCAUUAAAACCAUAAGCUGUAAAAACGCCAAAAUGCUACAAAGCCCAAGCCUUUAAGCCAGCAGCUAGGAUUCGAUUUGCAAAGAAGACUCGACUUCAGUCUCAUCCAACACCACCUAAGAAACCCUAGCCGCCGCUUGCAGUACCAAACUGGGUAAGCAUUCAUCUCCGACAUCAACAACCAUAGAAGCCCGAAGUUUGAAAGACAACCUCACUACGAUAGAUAUCGAGUAGAUUGAUGCUCAAGGAGGCCAUAACAGAAACUCUUGCUAAGACGAAUGAGGUAGAUUGGAUGUUCCAUCGCAGACAUCUCAGGGAUCAAACUAAAUAGCUCUGAGGGGUGGCAUGUUAGAAACAAGAAGCAGAGGAAUGUCCCCAAAGGUACCAUGGCCAAACAUCAGAACCCUAGAGCAGAGCCACAGUAAACCCAUGUAAAUCCACCUACAUGCAGGCCUUUAACAAACUUCCUCUCCAUGAAUAACAAAACCUGCAACUUAAAAACGGUAAAUUAAAUGUUUACACCACCACCCAUAGAAGGGAAGGAAGGGAACCCACCAUCAGCCAUGGACGAGAGCUGUACCCUGCCCGGAUGGGGCCGGGGAAACCACAUUAUUGUCAGAGAACGGAGCUAAGUCUCUUAGUAGAAAAAAGAAAAAUCGUGAGAGAAAAAGGUAUGGAUUGAGUGUUUUGUGGCAAGGUUAUGAGUAAUCUGGAAUCCUGGCUAUCAUCUGAAGACUGCUUCACUUUGGUCAGCAACAUACAUAUAAAAUGGUGAAAUGGGCAUAUAGAAUGAAGUGGCUUUGGCCUAGCUCCCUUUUUUACUAAAGAAGGAAAUGUAUAUGAAAAUUUGAUUAUUAAUUUCGGCAAGUCACUUUUCAUAGUACAACAAACUGGUUCUUCUUAUUAAGAAAAGGGUAUUGGAGCAAAUAUUGUGAGUUCUGAGUUAAAUCUUUU
rnacentral:misc_RNA from 1 species